GCGGCAGUGGCGGAAUCGGCAUACGCGCACGUUUGAGGGGCGUGUUCUGCAAGGAGUACGGGUUCAAGUCCCGUCUGCCGCACCA
rnacentral:tRNA from 1 species